UGGUUUCAGGAUGUCAAUCUCUUCUUUGGUUUUGCAAUCGCAUACUUUGCUUCCCCAAGAGUAUGACUCCUUAUGAUACCUUGCUUCAAUCAUUCCCAGCUUUCUGUUUCAAUUCUUUUUAUAAUACAGAGGAGAAAAAACUUUUAGCAUCAUCUUUGGCAUUGGUUUUCAAUUUUUCUUCUAACAUAAAGGUUUUGGGGGAAAAAACAAAAACGGGUUUGCUGUUUGUUUAGGGUAAUUAAGAUUUAGAAGGUUUGCUUGGCAAGAUCUUCAAAGGCACUCUGUUCCUGGUCAAAGCAAGCAAUACAAGAUAAAAGGACAACCAGUUGAUCAAGAAAUGGACUUACA